rnacentral:tRNA from 1 species
GUCCGCUUAGCUCAGUCAGGGAGAGCGUGCGGCUGAAGACCGCAAGGUCGUGGGUUCGAUCCCCACAGCGGACA